UUAUGGCUAUUAGAUGGGUAUGCGUCCUAUUAGUUAGUUGGUAAGGUAACGGCUUACCAAGGCAGCGAUAGGUAGGGGUCCUGAGAGGGAGAUCCCCCACACUGGUACUGAGACACGGACCAGACUCCUACGGGAGGCAGCAGUGAGGAAUAUUGGACAAUGGGCGAGAGCCUGAUCCAGCCAUGCCGCGUGCAGGAAGACUGCCCUAUGGGUUGUAAACUGCUUUUACAGAGGAAGAACCACUCCCACGUGUGGGAGUUUGACGGUACUCUGCGAAUAAGGAUCGGCUAACUCCGUGCCAGCAGCCGCGGUAAUACGGAGGAUCCAAGCGUUAUCCGGAAUCAUUGGGUUUAAAGGGUCCGUAGGCGGGCAGUUAAGUCAGUGGUGAAAGUCUUCCGCUCAACGGGAGAACUGCCAUUGAUACUGAUUGUCUUGAGUUAUUAUGAAGUGGUUAGAAUGAGUAGUGUAGCGGUGAAAUGCAUAGAUAUUACUCAGAAUACCGAUUGCGAAGGCAGAUCACUAAUAAUAUACUGACGCUGAUGGACGAAAGCGUAGGUAGCGAACAGGAUUAGAUACCCUGGUAGUCUACGCCGUAAACGAUGGUUACUAGCUGUUCGGCCCGAUUAAGGGCUGAGUGGUUAAGCGAAAGUGAUAAGUAACCCACCUGGGGAGUACGUUCGCAAGAAUGAAACUCAAAGGAAUUGACGGGGGCCCGCACAAGCGGUGGAGCAUGUGGUUUAAUUCGAUGAUACGCGAGGAACCUUACCAGGGCUUAAAUGUAGUCUGACA
rnacentral:rRNA from 1 species